AGCGUGGAGACAGGUGGUGCAUGGCUGUCGUCAGCUCGUGUCGUGAGAUGUUGGGUUAAGUCCCGCAACGAGCGCAACCCUCACCUCUUGUUGCCAUCAGGUCAUGCUGGGCACUCUAGAGGAACUGCCCCGGUCAACGGGGAGGAAGGCGGGGAUGACGUCAAGUCAUCAUGCCCCUUACGUCCUGGGCUACACACGUGCUACAAUGGCCGGUACAAAGGGAUGCCACACCGCGAGGUAGAGCUAAACCCGAAAAGCCGGUCUAAGUUCAGAUUGGAGUCUGCAACUCGACUCCAUGAAGGAGGAAUCGCUAGUAAUCGCGUAUCAGCACGACGCGGUGAAUACGUUCCCGGGCCUUGUACACACCGCCCGUCACACCACGAAAGCCUGCUGUACUCGAAGUCGCUGAG
rnacentral:rRNA from 1 species